rnacentral:rRNA from 1 species
UAUCUCUGUAGAGUCUGCAUAUCAAUAAGCGGAGGAAAAGAAACUAACAAGGAUUCCCCUAGUAACGGCGAGUGAAGCGGGAAGAGCUCAAAUUUGAAAUCUUCAAGGUUUGACCUUGACGAAUUGUAGUUUAAAGAAGUGUUUUCGGUUAGAGGAGUAGUAAAAGUUCUUUGGAAUAGGACAUCAUAGAGGGUGAGAAUCCCGUAUUUGACUAUUCUUUCUAGCUUUGUGAUUACACUUUCAAAGAGUCGGAUUGUUUGGGAAUGCAGUCCAAAAUGGGUGGUAAAUUUCAUCUAAAGCUAAAUAUUGGCGAGAGACCGAUAGCGAACAAGUACCGUGAGGGAAAGAUGAAAAGAACUUUGAAAAGAGAGUUAAACAGUACGUGAAAUUGUCAAAAGGGAAGCGUUUGACACCAGUGUUGUUUUUCCGAAAAUCAAUCAAAAAUUGAUUCAUGCCAGGUUGUAUUGACCUUAUCAGCUUGCAAUUUGGUUUUGGGUCUCUUUUUGAUGCACUUUUCGGUUAACAAGUCAACAUCAAUUUCCUUUGCUGUAAAAAGGUAAGAGGAAGGUGGCUUCAAUUUCGGUUGAAGUGUUUAUAGCCUUUUAUCUCUGCAGUCGGGGAGAUUGAGGUCUGCAGCGUAGAUCCUUCGGGGCUAGAUACAUUUAUGCUAAGUUAUAGCUUUUCAUAGACAACUUGUUGACUAUGUUUAGUCAUGUAGCUUACUCGUAAGUGCUACUUUACCUACGCUUAGGAUGUUGAGCGCAUGUCUCUCUCU